GCAAGGGCUUGGAGCAAGGUAUUUAUCUAUAAAAGCAAUGGUGCUGAACUUGUAACUGGAGGACCUGUCCAGCUGAGCUGCGACUAUCAGUAAUGGAUCAUGGGAAUGUGGAUCUUCAAUCAAAGGACCCCUGUUGAGCCCAGCCAGUGAAGUGCUGCCCUCCGACACCAGUGAGGGCAAACAAACACAGGCUCAAUCUCCAAGGUGACUUCCCCACCCAGCACACCAGGUGCCACCCUCGUGCCCAGCAACAAGAAGAAAUCUUUAUUUCAAGUUGAAGAGACACCGGAAAAGAGCCUGCGAAUCUUGGGAUCCAGGGCUGGAAAUGCAAGCUAAGUGAGGUGAGCUGGUUUGUGGCACUGUCCAGAUAGUCAUCGGCCAAGACAAGAUUCAUACCAGGCUUCCUGAUCCAGAAACCACACCCCACUAUCCUUCUGUGUAGCCCAAGCAGGCUACCGGCCUCCAAGCUCACUCCACGGAUACAGGUGAGCUCUGGGGGGUGGAACUUGCCUUGGAAUCUAUAGGUUUUCACUUCCUAGCUGAAGGGUUGGGGACAAGUUCCAUACUGUCUUUAGUUUCUGUCCUCUUUUCUAAAACAAAAACAAAAACAAAAAACCGGGACCAAUCACACUAAGGACUUGUAAGGAUUAAGUUAGAUGCCACGUUGCAAUUAUUUAUCAUAAUACGAGACAGAAAGUCUCUCCAAACUGUUAACUGCUGAAGUGCUGGCUAGGAUGAAGACACAAUUAAAUCAAGAAGUACUUUUGCUUUGAUCU